GUCAGUGCGGGUCUUACCAUGCAGUCGAACGCUGAAACCAGAUGUUGGUUUUGGUAUAAGAGUGGAAAAGGUGAGAAUCACAUGUGUGAUCUCUCCUAUACUUUUUGAUAUACCUGUGGAAAUGUGGCUCUUAUACCAAAUACUCACCCCCCCAUGGGUGUGGUGUAAAAAUUUUUGCGCGGUGUGAUAAGACUGCGCCCUAUAUCCUUGUGGUGGGGGUAAUGUGCUCUACCGGCGUCUACACGGAUACCCCCUGAGAGAGUGUGCAGCCACAUUGUGACUGAGACACACCCCCCACACCCCUACGAGAGGCCACUGGGGAAAAUUGUGCACUGUGCGCACGCCUGAGAUGCCGACACCCCGCGUGGGAUAAGAGCCUUUUCGUUGUGUACUCUUUUUUCUCUAGACAAAAACUUUUGUUGACGGUGCCUGGAGAAGAAAAACCGCCUAACUACUUGCCACCAGCCGCGGUAAUACUUAGGGUGCGAGCGUUGUCCGCAAUUAUUGGGGGUAAAAAGCUCGUAGGAGGUUUGUCGCGUCGUCUGUGAAAUCCCCCGGCUUAUCUUCUGGCGUGCAGGCGAUAAUGGGAUAAUUUGUGUGCUGUAGGGGAGACUGGAGUUCUUGGUGUAGCGGUGAAAUGCGCAGAUAUCAGGAGGAACACCAAUGGCGAAGGCAGGUCUCUGGGCAGUAACUGACGCUGAGGAGCGAAAGCAUGGGUAGCGAACAGGAUUAGAUACCCUGGUAGUCCAUGCCGUAAACGGUGGGCGCUAGGUGUAGGGGUCUUCCACGACUUCUGUGCCGCAGCUAACGCAUUAAGCGCCCCGCCUGGGGAGUACGGCCGCAAGGCUAAAACUCAAAGGAAUUGACGGGGGCCCGCACAAGCGGCGGAGCAUGUGGAUUAAUUCGAUGCAACGCGAAGAACCUUACCUGGGCUUGACAUGGACCGGAUCGGCGUAGAGAUACGUUUUCCCUUGUGGUCGGUUCACAGGUGGUGCAUGGUUGUCGUCAGCUCGUGUCGUGAGAUGUUGGGUUAAGUCCCGCAACGAGCGCAACCCUUGUCUUAUGUUGCCAGCACAUUGUGGUGGGUACUCAUGAGAGACUGCCGGGGUUAACUCGGAGGAAGGUGGGGAUGACGUCAAAUCAUCAUGCCCCUUAUGUCCAGGGCUUCACACAUGCUACAAUGGUCGGUACAGCGAGUUGCCACACCGUGAGGUGGAGCUAAUCUCUUAAAGCCGGCCUCAGUUCGGAUUGGGGUCUGCAACUCGACCCCAUGAAGUCGGAGUCGCUAGUAAUCGCAGAUCAGCAACGCUGCGGUGAAUACGUUCCCGGGCCUUGUACACACCGCCCGUCACGUCAUGAAAGUUGGUAACACCCGAAGCCAGUGGCCCAACCUUUUAGGGGGGAGCUUCGAAGUGAUCUCCUAA
rnacentral:rRNA from 1 species